rnacentral:rRNA from 1 species
GAUUAGAUACCCCACUAUGCUUAGCCCUAAACCCAGAUAUUUAACACACAAAAAUAUCCGCCAGAGAACUACGAGCAUAACGCUUAAAACUCUAAGGACUUGGCGGUGCCUUAAACCCCCCUAGAGGAGCCUGUUCUAUAAUCGAUAAUCCACGAUCCACCUCACCAUCUCUUGCCAGUACCGCCUAUAUACCGCCGUCACUAGCCUACCCUAUGAAGGAUAUAAAAGUAAGCAAAACAGCCAACAAUAGCUAAUAAGUCAGGUCAAGGUGUAGCUAACCGAGAUGGAAGAAAUGGGCUACAUUUUCUAAACUAGAAAUUAUCUCACGGAAAGAACCAUGAAACAAGUUCUACAAGCAGGAUUUAGCAGUAAACAAGGAUUAGAAUGCCCAAUUUAAGCCGGUCCUAAGGCACGCACACACCGCC